GUUAGGUUCAGUAAUCGGACCAUUAUAAGUGCCGUGAAUACUAUAUAAAAUUAUGUGUUGUAAACAGUAUAGUCUCGGCCGUACGUUUAUCCACACAUGGCAAUUGUUCGUUUGUACCAGUGUUUCUUAACGUUUUUACCGGUGCCACCCCCUCGAAGAGCAUAAGAUUUUUCAACGUCCCCUAUGUAAAAUACCUAUUUAUACUAUGUAUAAAUAGGAUGUGGCAAUGAAGAGUAGAGUUGUGAUUGCCCUUGCAGUUGUGAACCACUGAUUUAUAAGAUUGAAAAUAGUACUAUAUCGCGGAUAUGGUUAUAUCGAUGAAAAGCCGCAUGUGGACGUUUUAAAAAUAAAAGUCGAUUUUCAACUCCUUCUUAAUCCUAUUUGUUCGGCAUUGGCGUGUGUCCA